UUUUAGCGAAGGCUUUUAGUGUAAACUGAAAAAUAUUUUUAAAAAUUUAAGUAUUAUUCAUACUCCUAUAUGAUAACCACUAAAGAGAAAAUAAAUUUACUUACACUUAUUUAGUUAAAAAACUAAACGACUAAACUUAUUUGAAACACUUUUAACAAGUUUAGUUACAAGUUAAUGUUAUGAGUGUAUGUACUUUCAACCAAAUUAGUGUUAACAUUUCAGCAAAAUGUCAUAUCGCCAGGCUGUUUGGUUGGAAGAACCAAAAGCUUGAUAUUUUAUUAAGUUGUUAUUUUAGUUUGUGAUAUUAGAGUUUUUAUUCACAAAAUUUUAAAUAAUUUACUUUUUUAAUUUCUUUGUCAUUGCUUUGGAUAAGAUGUUUUGUUAUUCCUUUUACAGAUUGUUAUUGCAAAAGUUUAGAAUAACAGAAACUGAAGAAGGCAUUGAUAAUCAGCCGAUAACAAAAAAGCGCAAAAGUACUGAUUAUACAACUCUUUUAAAGUUAAGGAAGAAUUUUAUGUUAAUGCUAAUGCAAAAGGUACGAAUAUUGACAGGUUAGUUAAUUUGAUGUUACAAUAAACAUGAAAUAAAGUAUGUGAAGACCUUAGUGCUAUAAGUACUUAUAUGCAUUAUUUAUGCAUGCUAUAUUAUAAUAUAGCAUGCAUGCAUGAUGCACUUAAGUAUAAAAAAAAGUUACAAAUGUUUAAUUAUACAAAGAUAAUAUGGAUGUGGUACCGCAUGUAUAUUCAAUUGAUUAUGCAAGUAAGUUGUCCUACUUUACAUCUUUGAAGACUAAUAAUAAUUGUAAUGAACAUAUCUCAAACAAUAUACACUCAGAUUUACAUUUUAGUUUAACCAUCACCACUUCCACAGCCACCUUGUCUCAAGCAUUCAAUUGCAUUCUAAGAUAUCUUUAUUAAAAUCAAGUGUGACUACUAUACCAAAAGACUGUAGAAUGGACUAAUCAAGUAAGCUAACCCAUCAGUACAUGCAAAGUCUCCUUUUCUGUUAGCCCAAAAUUGAUUUCUAAAAUACCAUUAUUCAUUAUAUAACUACUAUAUCAAAACACAAACUAAUGGAUUGAUCAAUGAAAAUCUCGGUAUCUCCACAACUUUUCAAUUGAAUAGAAAGUUUCAAUCAAACAGGAUACUGAGAGUGCCUACUCAAGACAAUGAAUCUUCAAACUUCAGUUGCAAAUAAUGGGAGUUAUCAAACUUCAGCACUGCAGUUUUCCUGCAAUUAUGCAACUUAUCAACCCAUAACUGCGAUAACUACAAGUUUUUUAAUAAGAAAGGAGAUUGUAUGACUUCGGUAUGCGCAAUCCGGUAUCGUGCAUUGAUUCCCAUCUUAGAAUGGCUCCCUUCCGUAUAGGUGGAAAUAGGAAAGGUUAUGUCCUUUUUUCUAAUUCUUAAAACGAAGAGGCUUAAUCGGUUCAAACAAAGAUGACGAUGAUCAUUAUGGAGCCGAUCAUGAUGACGAUUACGGUAAUGCAUAUAAUGAUAAAUAAAAUUAUUUUAC